UGUAUGAAGUUGGAAUCGCUAGUAAUCGCAGAUCAGAAUGCUGCGGUGAAUGCGUUCCCGGGUCUUGUACACACCGCCCGUCACACCACGGAAGUUGGGGGCGCCCGAAGCCACUUAGCUAACCCUUUUGGGAAGCGAGUGUCGAAGGUGAAAUCAAUAACUGGGGUGAAGUCGUAACAAGGUAGC
rnacentral:rRNA from 1 species